rnacentral:rRNA from 1 species
GAUGAACGCUGGCGGCGUGCUUAACACAUGCCAGUCGAACGAAGCAUUUAGGACAGAUUACUUCGGUUUGAAGUUCUUUAUGACUGAGUGGCGGACGGGUGAGUAACGCGUGGGUAACCUGCCUUGUACUGGGGGAUAGCAGCUGGAAACGGCUGGUAAUACCGCAUAAGCGCACAAUGUUGCAUGACAUGGUGUGAAAAACUCCGGUGGUAUAAGAUGGACCCGCGUCUGAUUAGCUAGUUGGUGAGAUAACAGCCCACCAAGGCGACGAUCAGUAGCCGACCUGAGAGGGUGACCGGCCACAUUGGGACUGAGACACGGCCCAGACUCCUACGGGAGGCAGCAGUGGGGAAUAUUGCACAAUGGAGGAAACUCUGAUGCAGUGACGCCGCGUGAGUGAAGAAGUAAUUCGUUAUGUAAAGCUCUAUCAGCAGGGAAGAUAGUGACGGUACCUGACUAAGAAGCGCCGGCUAAAUACGUG